rnacentral:rRNA from 1 species
GACAGAGGAUGCAAGCGUUAUCCGGAAUGAUUGGGCGUAAAGCGUCUGUAGGUGGCUUUUUAAGUCCGCCGUCAAAUCCCAGGGCUCAACCCUGGACAGGCGGUGGAAACUACCAAGCUGGAGUACGGUAGGGGCAGAGGGAAUUUCCGGUGGAGCGGUGAAAUGCGUAGAGAUCGGAAAGAACACCAACGGCGAAAGGCAACUCUGCUGGGACCGACACUGACACUGAGAGACGAAAGCUAGGGGAGCGAAUGGG